GGGUUGACUUGCUCAGAAGAUUUGUCAGUCGAGCGGUAACAGAUCUAGCUUGCUAGACGCUGUAGAGCGGCGGACGGGUGAGUAACGCGUGGGAAUCUACCCAGUAGCGGGGGAUAACUUGGGGAAACCCAAGCUAAUACCGCAUACGCCCUACGGGGGAAAGCGGGGGCCUAUUCGCACUAUUGGAUGAGCCUAUGUCGGAUUAGCUUGUUGGUGGGGUAAUGGCCUACCAAGGCGACGAUCAGUAGCUGGUCUGAGAGGAUGACCAGCCACACUGGGACUGAGACACGGCCCAGACUCCUACGGGAGGCAGCAGUGGGGAAUAUUGGACAAUGGGCGCAAGCCUGAUCCAGCCAUGCCGCGUGUGUGAAGAAGGCCUUCGGGUUGUAAAGCACUUUCAGCGAGGAGGAAGGGGUGUUGCUUAAUACGUAACAUUUUUGACGUUACUCGCAGAAGAAGGACCGGCUAACUCCGUGCCAGCAGCCGCGGUAAUACGGAGGGUCCGAGCGUUAAUCGGAAUUACUGGGCGUAAAGCGCGCGUAGGCGGUUAGAUCAGUCAGAUGUGAAAGCCCUGGGCUCAACCUGGGAACUGCGUCUGAUACUGUCUAACUAGAGUUUGGUAGAGGAGUGUGGAAUUUCCUGUGUAGCGGUGAAAUGCGUAGAUAUAGGAAGGAACACCAGUGGCGAAGGCGACACUCUGGACCAAAACUGACGCUGAGGUGCGAAAGCGUGGGGAGCAAAACAGGAUUAGAUACCCUGGUAGUCCACGCCGUAAACGAUGUCUACUAGCCGUUGGGAGACUUGAUCUCUUAGUGGCGCAGCUAACGCGAUAAGUAGACCGCCUGGGGAGUACGGUCGCAAGAUUAAAACUCAAAUGAAUUGACGGGGGCCCGCACAAGCGGUGGAGCAUGUGGUUUAAUUCGAAGCAACGCGAAGAACCUUACCCGCUCUUGACAUCCAGUGAACUUUCUAGAGAUAGAUUGGUGCCUUCGGGAACACUGAGACAGGUGCUGCAUGGCUGUCGUCAGCUCGUGUUGUGAAAUGUUGGGUUAAGUCCCGUAACGAGCGCAACCCUUGUCCUUAUUUGCCAGCACGUAAUGGUGGGAACUCUAAGGAGACUGCCGGUGACAAACCGGAGGAAGGUGGGGACGACGUCAAGUCAUCAUGGCCCUUACGAGCGGGGCUACACACGUGCUACAAUGGCCAGGACAAACGGUUGCAACCCCGCGAGGGUGAGCUAAUCUGAGAAACCUGGUCGUAGUCCGGAUCGCAGUCUGCAACUCGACUGCGUGAAGUCGGAAUCGCUAGUAAUCGUGACAUUGAAUGUCACGGUGAAUACGUUCCCGGGCUUUGUAUACACCGCCUGUCACUCCAUGGGAGUGGAUUGCACCAGAAGUAGCUAGCUUAACCUUCGGGAGGGCGGUUACCACGGUGUGGUUCAUGACUGGGGUGAAGUCGUAACAAGGUAGCCCUAG
rnacentral:rRNA from 1 species